rnacentral:lncRNA from 1 species
UCAACCAUCAAACAGCAGCCAAAAUAAGGACAUGCAUCUUUCAAUUAAUUAUAAAUAUCACCUUGGCUAAUGCUUAGAGCUUGAUUUAUUGGAUUUGAUUUUCUAAUCUUCGCUGCCCAGUUCGUCGGCAUCCAUGGAUGUUGCUGGGCUGAUGCGGAUUUUGGUGUUCCCUUCCAAUUUUGACUCGAUCUGCUCCUUUUUGAUGCUCUAUGGUCAGCUUUGGUGUUUUCUGAUCGGAGGACCUUUGCCGGUUUCUGGAUUUGUUUUCGUAGCAGCUGGGACGCUCAUGUUUCCAGUUGAUGCUUGUGUUUCACACGCGUGCUUGAGGCUGGGGUCUCAGUUGCUGAUGUUCCCACUUUCACAUAACCAGCUGCAGAUGAUGGAUACACGUGGGUCUGCCUCAAACAUGGGUCCCACCUUAUUUCAAAUGCAGAUCAUGUUCAAAUUCAGAAUUUAAUGUUCAACAAACCCAAUUGAAACCCUAAUUUGUAGAACCCAAAUCAAAACCCAAUAUCCAGAAAUUUGAUUAUAUACAUACAUAUAUAGAGAGAUCUAGAGAGAAAGAUGUAUAGAGAUAGAUUUGCUCAUCUUGGUUUUCUUAUCUCAAUCGCUUGCCCAAUCUAGUUCUUCCUAUUUCAAUUGUUUGCUCAAAAUCAGAAUCUAUAAAACUUCUUGCAUUCUUUGUGGAUAAUGAAAGAGCUUUUGAUGGUGAAGGUGCAAGGGUGGUUAGUGCCAUUGGUGAGGAAGAAACCAAAGAAGUAAGAAGAUGAAGGGGCUGUUGUUAUAUUAUUUUUUUAGUUUGUUUAGUUAAUUACUUAAGUUUCUGUUAUGUUUAGUUAGUUUAAUUUAUAUUUUGUUUUUUUAUUGAAAAAAAUAACUAUAUUUUGUAUUUUUGUUGGAGUAAUUGAUUGAUUAAGUAUUAAAGUUAUUAAUUUUUUAAGUGUA